rnacentral:rRNA from 1 species
AAAGGUGGCUAUGCUACCGCUUUUGGAUGGGCCCGCGGCGCAUUAGCUAGUUGGUGGGGUAAAGGCUUACCAAGGCAAUGAUGCGUAGCCGAACUGAGAGGUUGAUCGGCCACAUUGGGACUGAGACACGGCCCAAACUCCUACGGGAGGCAGCAGUAGGGAAUCUUCCACAAUGGGCGAAAGCCUGAUGGAGCAACGCCGCGUGGGUGAAGAAGGUCUUCGGAUCGUAAAACCCUGUUGUUAGAGAAGAAAGUGCGUGAGAGUAACUGUUCACGUUUCGACGGUAUCUAACCAGAAAGCCACGGCUAACUACGUGCCAGCAGCCGCGGUAAUACGUAGGUGGCAAGCGUUAUCCGGAUUUAUUGGGCGUAAAGAGAACGCAGGCGGUCUUUUAAGUCUGAUGUGAAAGCCUUCGGCUUAACCGGAGUAGUGCAUUGGAAACUGGGAGACUUGAGUGCAGAAGAGGAGAGUGGAACUCCAUGUGUAGCGGUGAAAUGCGUAGAUAUAUGGAAGAACACCAGUGGCGAAAGCGGCUCUCUGGUCUGUAACUGACGCUGAGGUUCGAAAGCGUGGGUAGCAAACAGGAUUAGAUACCCUGGUAGUCCACGCCGUAAACGAUGAAUGCUAAGUGUUGGAGGGUUUCCGCCCUUCA